UAACAAUUUUUUCCGAGGGCUCUGAUGUCCGAUUUUUUGUAGAGAUUUUCUGUCGUUUCUUCAGAAAAGUUUCCGAGUAAUCUGCACAUACUCGUUUCUUUUGUUUUGUUUGAACAAAACAAAGCUAAAGAGAAAAAAAACAGCGUAUACAGAGAGUUAACUCUUUUUUGGCGAGAAUUUCUAAUGUUACUCCAGGAAAGUUUCCGAGUAAUCUGCACAUACUCGUUUCUUUUGUUUUGAAAAAAAUUCUGACAUUAGCAGAGAGUUAACUUUUUUCUGUUGAGAUUUAUUUUACCGUUCCUUUCGAAAAGUUUCCGAGUACUCUGCACAUGCUCGGUUGAAAUUAUUUGAAGAAUUUUGUGUAUACAACUUUUUUGUUUUUUGAUUAUGAUCAGUUUGUCGUCAGAAUUUGAACGGAGCACGACUGCAGUGUGUUGCAGUGAAAAGUUCAAAUGAAAAUUAAAGGAAGAUUUGGACCUUCAGUACCUUAUGCUACGCCGUUUAAAAAUCAACGCCAUGACAAUGUAAACACUUUUACAUAUGAAAAUUUUAAACUUAUUUUUCAAACUGGCGAGGUCAACGUUUUCGUGGCACGAAAUGUACCAAAAUACAGCUGUAAAUGACAUCUAAUUUAUUAGGCUCGUUAAAGAUGCGGCAUUGGAACAUAUUCCGGAAACUAUGGGAAGUGCCAUAUAAACCCAUAUAAAACAUUUCUUCAAAUCGGCUAAAGAAAGGCUUAACAAACCUUAAGCUGGGCCAAAAUCGAACUCAGUCAACCUUAAACUCCUUUGUUCAUCUGCGAAUAAGCCAGCCGAUGACUUGAGCCAUCCAAAUAUGCGCUUUAUAUAUUUCCACCCUUAAUUAUAUUGAUUUACAUUGAAUUGCAACUUUUUAUGUUUUUUAUAUAUUAAUUUCCGUAUUCCUUAUAUUUUACAAAAAAAACUGAAUACAAAUGUUCUGUCAUUAAAUUGAAAAAUACAAACAUAAACAAUUAUCUAAAAACUAGAUAAAGUUUUAUUAUUUCUUUAUGUUUUUCGAUUACAACUAUAAAAUAAAUGUAGAUUUUUUUUUGCGAAUUUCGUAUCAAACAUCCUAUUAUUUUCCGAUUUUCGAAUGAAUUAUUCGAAUUUUUCCCGAUUUUCGGAUAAAACUAUAGAAUAAAUUCAGAUUUUUUUCCGAAUUUCGAAUCAAACAUCCGAAAAUUUUCAGAAUUUCGUAUCAAACAUCCUAUU